GGAUUAGCUCAGUUGGUUAGAGCGCUGGUUUGUGGCACCAGAGGUCAUCGGUUCGAAUCCGAUAUU
rnacentral:tRNA from 1 species